rnacentral:rRNA from 1 species
CCUACGGGAGGCAGCAGUGGGGGAUAUUGCACAAUGGGGGAAACCCUGAUGCAGCGACGCCGCGUGUGGGAAGACGGUCUUCUGGAUUGUAAACCACUGUCCCCAGGGACGAAAAUGACGGUACCUGGGGAGGAAGCUCCGGCUAACUACGUGCCAGCAGCCGCGGUAAUACGUAGGGAGCAAGCGUUGUCCGGAAUUACUGGGUGAAAAGGGAGCGUAGGCGGGGAUGCAAGUUGGGUGUCAAAACUACCGGCUCAACCGAUAGUCGCACUCAAAACUGCAGCUCUUGAGUGAAGUAGAGGCAGGCGGAAUUCCUAGUGUAGCGGUGAAAUGCGUAGAGAUUAGGAGGAACACCAGUGGCGAAGGCGGCCUGCUGGGCUUUUACUGACGCUGAGGCUCGAAAGUGUGGGGAGCAAACAGGAUUAGAUACCCCUGUAGUC